GUGCCAGCCGCCGCGGUAAUUCCAGCUCCAAUAGCGUAUAUUAAAGUUGUUGUGGUUAAAAAGCUCGUAGUUGAACCUUGGGCCUGGCUGGCCGGUCCGCCUCACCGCGUGCACUGGUCCGGCCGGGCCUUUCCCUCUGUGGAACCCCAUACCCUUCACUGGGCGUGGCGGGGAAACAGGACAUUUACUUUGAAAAAAUUAGAGUGCUCCAGGCAGGCCUAUGCUCGAAUACAUUAGCAUGGAAUAAUAAAAUAGGACGCGCGGUUCUAUUUUGUUGGUUUAUAGGACCGCCGUAAUGAUUAAUAGGGACAGUCGGGGGCAUCAGUAUUCAGCUGUCAGAGGUGAAAUUCUUGGAUCAGUUGAAGACUAACUACUGCGAAAGCAUUUGCCAAGGAUGUUUUCAUUAAUCAGGAACGAAAGUUAGGGGAUCGAAGACGAUCAGAUACCGUCGUAGUCUUAACCAUAAACUAUGCCGACUAGGGAUCGGACGGUGUUAUUCAUGACCCGUUCGGCACCUUACGAGAAAUCAAAGUGCUUGGGCUCCAGGGGGAGUAUGGUCGCAAGGCUGAAACUUAAAGAAAUUGACGGAAGGGCACCACCAGGGGUGGAGCCUGCGGCUUAAUUUGACUCAACACGGGGAAACUCACCAGGUCCAGACACAAUAAGGAUUGACAGAUUGAGAGCUCUUUCUUGAUUUUGUGGGUGGUGGUGCAUGGCCGUUCUUAGUUGGUGGGGUGACUUGUCUGCUUAAUUGCGAUAACGAACGAGACCUUAACCUGCUAAAUAGCCCGCAUUGCUCCGGCAGUGCGCUGGCUUCUUAGAGGGACUUUC
rnacentral:rRNA from 1 species